rnacentral:rRNA from 1 species
CUACGUGCCAGCAGCCGCGGUAAUACGUAGGGGGCAAGCGUUAUCCGGAUUUACUGGGUGUAAAGGGAGCGCAGGCGGUUUGGCAAGUUGAGAGUGGAAGCAGGGGGCUCAACCCCCUGACUGCUCCCAAAACUGUUAAACUUGAGUAUGGGAGAGGCAGGCGGAAUUCCUAGUGUAGCGGUGAAAUGCUUAGAUAUUAGGAGGAACACCGGUGGCGAAGGCGGCCUGCUGGACCAAAACUGACGCUGAGGCUCGAAAGCGUGGGUAGCAAACAGGAUUAGAUACCCUGGUAGUCCACGCCGUAAACGAUGAGUGCUAGGUGUUGGGUCCUUUCCGGGACUCAGUGCCGCAGCUAACGCAUUAAGCACUCCGCCUGGGGAGUACGACCGCAAGGUUGAAACUCAAAGGAAUUGACGGGGGCCCGCACAAGCGGUGGAGCAUGUGGUUUAAUUCGAAGCAACGCGAAGAACCUUACCAGGUCUUGACAUCCCUCUGACCGCUCUAGAGAUAGAGCUUUCC